GUAUGACUCUGUACCAGGCUUUGUGGAAAUCUGAUGAUCAUCAAGUGUUUAUUGUUAUCGAUUACUGGGCUCUCAAAACAACAGCCUCCUUUUAUACGUACUUCUCGACUGCUUUCAUCCUCCUCCUUUCCUCUGUGGCUAAAGUAUUCUGAGGUUGCACACUUUCUAGUCAGCUACCGCUUCCAUUAGUAUGUGCCUCCCCCUGCCCCCAACAAUGUAUCAUAUGCUACACGUGUAAUUCACUAACUGCCACCCAAGGCAAAGAAGUUAAUAUUUAUGAACCUAUUAAGCCUGAACAUUCUGCUCAAAGUUCACAGGCCGGUGUUAGUCAGCUCCUGUGUUUUCUUCUGGUUUCGCAUUCUGUUUGGCACUGAUAAGCUUUAGCAGCACACCCCUUGGAAUAUUACAAGGUUUCUCUUUGUAAAGGCACUAUCUCUCUAUCUUAUCAGGAGGGCCCCAGGAGGGUACUCAGGAAUGCAUUCAGGAAUGCACUCAGGAAGGAAGAAGGAAGUUCCCCAACAGCUCCAGGCAAAAAAUGGAUGAUGAUCUGAAGGCCACGUGAAGGCCUUGCUGAAACUGAAACUGAAACCAGACAAAACCGGUUGAGGCAGGCUGAAGCAGGAAUAAGUGCAACCUGAAGUAACCCAUGGUUCACGAAGGCCAAAAUGCUUGUGCAGUUACACGCCCAGAAAGGAAUAAUGAGAUGUGAUGAGCGUUAUAAUGAAGUAAUGCCCCACCCUCACUCCCUGUGUGAAUCUCUGAACACAGCACAGAGCUCGUGCAAACAGAAGGAUUGACACGAGACGUAGCCAGAGACAAUUUGUAGCUAAGCUAGUAGCUACUGGGGCUGUUUCAUUGAAAACUGUAUAAAUAUCAGCAAAUUAGUCCUGUGAAUGUAUCCACUCUGUACACCAGGAAUGAAUUGGGACAACGCGAACACCACGAAGACCAACCCCUAGCUCUACACAGGACCACCCAAAAGUCAGAUCAUAUUUCUGAGAGCUUUGUCCAAGAUCCAGCAGAUAAAGCAUAAAAAAUAGGUACUGAGCUUGUCCUGCAAGUCAGGAACAACGUUUGUGAGAGCUGUCCCUGGAAAACUGUCAGAGUUUAAUAAAGAACGGCAUGCUCUGAGUGUGAAAACUUCUUCAUGGGAGAAAGUCACAAGGUCAUGAGCAAGGUUCCCUGUGCCUUCUUCCUUGAUACUCAAAAGAGCCAGCACCCCUCACUCCAAGACAGAUGCAGAAGACUCUGAUAUCCUCAGUACCUUCUUCACCUUUGUAAGAGUUGUAUUCAGGAAUCCCAGGUCCCUGAGACCAAGGGAAUGGCUGGAGCAAGGAAGACUUACUGUUUAUGGAGCAGGUUAAGGUUAGGAAAUAGCUAUACUGGGCACAAGUUCAUGUGGCCUGAUCAUUAAGGCUGGAAAAGACCCUGAGAUUGUCUAGUCUAAUCAGAUGUUGAGCUGAUGGAAUACAGCCAUGAAAGAACUGACUGGUGUCAUUAUAAGGCCAUUCUUGAUUACCUUUAAAAGUCUCUGGUGUUUGGUUAAAAGUUCCUGUGAACUGGGAAAAGCAUAUGUCAUCCCUGCUUUCAAGAAGAUCAGAAGUUAUGAUUCAAGAAAACUACAGGCUGGUCAGCCUCCAUCUGUCCCUUGGAAGACAAUAGUGGAAAUUCUUCUGGAAACCAUCGUCAAACAUGUGAAAUACAAGUAGUUGGCAUCAUUUAUGAAGGGAAAGUUGUUCUUUGCCAGGUAUUCAUGCUUUAUUCAUGUGUGUGGGCAUGUAGAAACACAAGUUCGUCAUUCAGACAAACUCCAGUCUGAAUGAAACUCUUUAAGACCAAUGUGGUAUUAAGAAGCAGACAUUCCUUAUUACAGUGCUAGAUGCACAGGGGGUCACUUCACCUAAAUGC